UACGUAGGGGGCAAGCGUUGUCCGGAAUCAUUGGGCGUAAAGAGCGUGUAGGCGGCCCGGUAAGUCCGCUGUGAAAGUCCAGGGCUCAACCCUGGGAUGCCGGUGGAUACUGUCGGGCUCGAGUCCGGAAGAGGAGACUGGAAUUCCAGGUGUAGCGGUGAAAUGCGUAGAUAUCUGGAGGAACACCGGUGGCGAAGGCGGCAUCCUGGACCGGCAUUGACGCUGAGGCGCGAAAGCCAGGGGAGCAAACGGG
rnacentral:rRNA from 1 species